CGCAGUGGGGGGGCAGAGGCCUAAUAAGGAGUCAGCUUAGGGCUCAAGUUGCUGCAGGGGGCUGGCCUGGCUCUGGGGGAGGAGCAGGGGGAGGGCACCUUUCCUAGCUGUUCUGCUACCUAUUGCCUGGGCAGUUCAGCUCCAGGGAGCCCUGGCUGGGGCACAGCCCUCCCUGCUGUCCCAUGAAGCCUGAGUGGGAGGUGUGGGAUAAAAAGGGGCUCAGUAAAAAUGUACAGAAAUUGCUGCGCACAGAAGAGGCAGGCAGAGGAAUGAAGGCAAAUGAUUUCCCAGGCCUCUGCAAGAAGGGCACAGGGAAGGGCAGAGCUCUCCGUUUCAGCACAGCAUUUAGGCAGCCUUGUGCACUGGUAAGAAGCCAGACAGGCGACUCCGGGAAAGGGGAUGAGUGAGAAAUGAUGAGACAGAGCAGGCUGAGACUGUGUCUUUCAGCAUCAAUUAGACCAGGGUGGUCAAGCCCUGGCACGUGUGCCACAAGUGCCGUGUGCUGCUGCUGUGCAGGGCAUGCGAGGGCAGGAGCGAAGGAAGCUGGGGGCUGUGGGAGGAGUGUGGUUGGAGCAGGGCUGUAAGUGAGGAGGGGAGAGGAGGAUGGGGUCUGCACUGCCCCUGCUGACCUGCUCAGCUGCCCCACCACAAACUCAGCUCAGCUGGAGGGGCUGGGCAGAAACAGCCCUGCACCGUCUGGGAAGAUGGACUUGAUGCAGGCCGGACACAAUUGCAGAACCUUUUUUUCCUGGGAAAGGAUGACUCAUCCCGAGCUGGAGCAGUGACUCGUCAACAGAGCCAGCAGAAGCACCACAGAGAAAGAGCAGAGAGCCCGGCACAGCGGCUGAGUCCACUGGUCACUAAACUCAGAGAAAGUAAAGAGAGCUUCUGGGUACGGUAUUAUAUGAAAGGCUUGGAGCUGAGCUCAUGGAAGAAUGUCUCCUGACACCUGACUCCUUUUGCAUUCAGGGGAACAGGACCUUGCACUGGCCCCACAUCCUGCUUCUCUUCUAGCUGGAACAGUCUACAACACCCGAAAUUCUUCACUAUCCAGGUCCUGGUCACUAUCUCCCUGGCAACUACCUCCUCCAUUGUCAGACCAGCUGCAUGUAGGCCUUGUUGGAUAGGCUUGAAAAGAAAUGAUGAACCCGCUAAUGGAUGUCAUCAAAGGAAGAGGGAAUGGUCCAGUGGCAUGAAAUAAACAAUGGGAAGAAGUAUUCCAACCUACUAAAGCAGCCUUAUGCCAGGAAGUGGUACUUCACACCCCUGACUUCACGCAGCCUUUCAUAUUCAUAGAAUCAUAGAAGUAGGGUUGGAAGGGACCUUGUAGAUCUUCAAGUCCGACCUCCUGCCUGGGCAGGAGGAAAACUGGGUUCAAUUGACCCCAGUCAGGUAGGCAUCAAGCCGCUUCUUAAAGACCCCCAGGGUAGGAGCCAGCACCACUUCCCUUGGAAGUUGGUUCCAGAUCCUAGCCGCCCUAACUGUGAAGUAGUUCUUACGGAUGUCUAAUCUAAACCUACUCUCCAACAACUUGUGGCCGUUAUUCCUUGCUAUCCCGGGGGGCGCUGGGGGAAACAAGGUUUCUCCCAAACCCUUCUGGUCCCCCCUAGUGAUUUUAUAGAUGGUCACCAGGUCCCCCCUCAGCCUUCUCUUGUGAAGGCUGAACAGGUUCAGGUCCUGUAGCCUCUCAUUGUAGGUUCUGCCCUGCUGUCCCUGGAUCAUGCGGGUGGCCCUCCUCUGGACCCUCUCAACGUUGUCCACAUCCCUCUUGAAGUGGGGUGCCCAGAACUGGACACAGUACUCCAGCUGUGGCCUGACCAGUGUUGCGUAGAGGGGGAGAAUCACCUCCUUGGCCCUACUUGAGAUGCACCUGUGGGUGCAUGAUAGGGUCCAGUUAGCCCUGCCGACCGUGACCUCACAUUGUCGGCCCAUGUUCAUCUUGGAGUCAAUGAUGACUCCAAGAUCCCUUUCUGCCUCCAUGCUCUCAAGAAGGGAGUUUCCCAUCUUAUAAGUGUGCUGCUGGUUACUACUGCCCAAGUGCAGCACCCUGCACUUGUCAGUAUUGAAACGCAUCCUGUUUUUGUUAGCCCACCCCUGCAACCUAUCCAGGUCUUUCUGCAGUCUUUCCCUCCCUACUAAUGUGCCCACCUCACCCCAAAUUUUGGUAUCAUCAGCAAGUUUGAACAAGUUGCUUUUCACCCCGUUGUCCAAAUCGCUGAUAAAGAAAUUGAACAGUGUGGGCCCAAGGACUGAGCCCUGGGGGACUCCGCUGCCCACUUCCCCCCAGGUCGAAUAUGACCCAUCCACCACCACCCUCUGAGUACGACCCUUCAGUCAAUUUGCAAUCCAUCUGACUGUGUAGGUAUCGAUGCCACAGUCGCCUAGUUUUUUAGAUGAGGAUGGGGUGGGAGACAGUGUCAAAGGCCUUGCUGAAGUCCAGAAAGACUACAUCCACGGCGACACCUGCAUCCAAUGCUUUUGUGACCUGAUUGUAAAAGGCAAUCAGGUUGGUCUGACAUGACCUGCCACUAAUGAAACCAUGCUGGUUGCCCUUGAGCAUCAUCCCCGAUGCCAGCCCAUCACAGAUGUGCUCUUUGUUGAUCUUUUCAAAGAGUUUCCCCAGGAUUGAGGUAAGACUGAUGGGCCUAUAGUUGCCCGGGUCCUCCCUCCUCCCUUUUUUAAAGAUGGGGACCACAUUGGCUAUCUUCCAAUCAUCUGGCACCUGGCCUGAGCACCACGAGCGCUUGUAAAGCCAUGCCAAGGGCCCUGCAAUAACCCCUGCUAGCUCCCUCAACAUUACAGGGAGAUGCGUCAGGGGAGGCCACUGGAGCAGUACUCUCCCAGAUGAUUGAGGGCCAGGAGAGACUAAUGGCCUAUGCCACUUCACAGUCAGGGCAGCUAGGAUCUGGAACCAACUUCCAAGAGAAGUGGUGCUUGCUCCUACCCUGGGGGUCUUCAAAAGGAAGCUAGAUAGAUAUCUUGCCGGGGUUGUUUUACCCCAGCGUUCUUUCCUGCCCAGGGCAGGGGGUCGGAUUGAUGAUCUGCUCAGGCCCCUUCCGAUCCUACCUACUAUGAAACUAUGCCAGUAGGAAAUUGAACGAGCAUGAAAGAAGGGAUGCUAGCAUUGAGUAGGAAUAUUUAGCACUCGGAGUAUUGAGUAUUUCUGCUACUACCUAUUGGGUCGAGAAUUUAAACUAAUUACAGACCACACUCCACUGAAAUGGUUACAGUCGACUAAAAUGGCCAAUGCUCAUAUUAUGCAAUUGGCUUUUGCUAUGCAACCUUUCUAAUUUUCUAUCGACUCAGGCCUGGAAAAACAACGUGGUGGCAGACUUUCUCUCUCAGUGCCAAUUAGACGGAGCCUGAACCAGACCUGGUACCUUGUAAGAGAGAAGAAGAGAAGGCAUCAACGCAGCAGGAUCAUAGAGAUGAUGGAGAAACUUGUGACAGAAAGGAAUUUUUCUUCAGUGGGAAUGUGAAGGAGUGAGAGGGUAAACAGCGCCCAGGGUGCCUUACGUGCCGGGCAGUGGAGACUGAGGGAGGAAGAGCAGCCGGCAGUGACAGAGGUGGAAAGUGAAAGUAAACAGGGCCUGCAGCUGAGCAAAUGGGGAGGCUGCAGCUGAAGACUAGAGCGGAGAAGAAGCAGUCACAGCAACACUUCCAGGGCAGCCUCUCACUCAGGAUUGGAGGAGGGAAGCUGCCAGCAGGUAUUUCUGGCCCCCAAGAGGGAAAGAGCGGGUCGAUUCCCUGGAAACUGCUGAGAGGAGUGGCUGAGAGGUCCUGCAAGCAGGUAUUGCUGACCCUGCUGGAGAAACGCUGUGGGAGUGACCAAAAGAAGGAGGCAUGCAGAGGAGGCUUGCCUACACAAGGAUUCUGAUCAGUCCUGAAGCAGAGUAGCGGCUGAGGGUCCGGGAGGGAAGCAAGGAAGACUGCUUUUCUCAUGUUACAGCCUCCCUGGUGGGGCUGUGCUGUGCUUGGGAGAGAGAUCCUACUGGGACUAUAUAUGCUCACCAGUAGACUUGCACGGAUCUGUGCUGAGCAACAAUUCGAUUGACUGGCUUUGCUGGGGGUUUUUUGGGUAUGAGAGAGAGAUCCCCAGGUGAAGGGGAUAUGGACUGAAUCCAAAGAGAGACUGAGAACAGUUGUGUUUCAGGAGUAUUUGAGCUGAGGCUAAGGCCAUCCCCUGGACGGGGUGUGUGUCAGAGAAAGGUGGCAGGUGGCAGAGGGCUGAGCAUUAGCAAUCAGGCUGGAGAGAAACUUUGAAUUUCAUCUGGAUUGGCUAGGGUGGGGUAAAGGGGAGAUUGGACCCCCACAGAACAAGACAGACAUCGAGACCUGAAGGAUAACCUCGAGGUAUUGCUUCCUAUUAACAAAGCAUCAGCAUAGGUGCACAGGUGUAGGGUCGGAAGGAACCUGAGCAGAUCAUCAAGUCUGACCCCCUGCCCUGGGCAGGAAUGAAUACUAGGCUCAUCUGACCCCCAGUAAGUUUAAGCUCAUAUGACCCCAGCUAGGUAAUUAUCAAGCUUCCUUUUAAAGACCCCUAAGGUAGGAGCCAGCACCACUUCCCUUGGAAGCUGGUUCCAGAUCCUGGCUGCCCUGACUGUGAAAUAGUACCUCCUGAUGUCUAGCAAAAAUAUGAGUGUCUCCCUGUCACUUCACUCACCCCACUUCAACCCAGCUGGGACUUGACCUUAGCUCUCCCACAUGGAAGGCAGAAAUCCUGCCACACAGCCACCAGUGAUGGCCACAGGCAGGUGAGAAAAAAUAAGAUCAGUUUCCUGGCAGACCGGGUGAUCUGAGGUUGAGGUCCAUCCUGUUGCUGCCUGUAGGUAAACAAGCUCUCAGCAGUGGUAGUAAGCCCUAUAAUACCUACAGUCAUCCUGGUGAAAAUUAUUUUGUCCAAAUUACUGGUAUCUGGUGGAAGAGAGAGGGAGAGAGGCAAGAAAGUUUUGUGUCUGCCUUGUCACGACAGCUAUUCAUCUUAUAUUGUGUGUGCCCAUGAGGUAAGAGACAGCAUGUUACUGCUGGGGUAUUUUUGUCCAGGGGAGGCAAAAGGGGAGAAUGUUGAACUAAUUAAAUAGGAUAUACAAGGUGUGUGGGUGGUGCAUGUGAUGUGGUACAGUUCGGUGAGGAAAGAGCUGAUGUUUCAUAGAUUCAUAGAUGCUAGGGUCGGAAGGGACCUCAAUAGAUCAUCGAGUCCAACCCCCUGCAUAGGCAGGAAAGAGUGCUGGGUCUAGAUGACCCCAGCUAGAUGCCUAUCUAACCUCCCCUUGAAGACCCCCAGGGUAGGGGAGAGCACCACCUCCCUUGGGAGCCCAUUCCAGACCUUGGCCACUCGAACUGUGAAGAAGUUCUUCAAAUGUCUAGUCUAAAUCUGCUCUCUGCUAGCUUGUGGCCAUUAUUUCUUGUAACCCCCGGGGGCGCCUUGGUGAAUAAAACCUCACCAAUUCCCUUCUGUGCCCCCGUGAUGAACUUAUAGGCAGCCACAAGGUCGCCUCUCAACCUUCUCUUGCGGAGGCUGAAGAGGUCCAGGUGCCCCAGUCUCUCCUCAUAGGGCUUGGCCUGCAAGCCCUUGACCAUACGAGUGGCCCUUCUCUGGACCCUCUCCAGGUUCUCCACAUUCCUCUUGAAGUGUGGCACCCAAAACUGCACGCAGUAUUCCAACUGCAGUCUGACCAGCGCCCGAUAGAGGGGAAGUAUCACCUCCUUGGUUCUGUUCAUCAUGCAUCUGCUGAUGCACAAUAAAGUGCCAUUAGCUUUUCUGAUGGCUUCGUCACACUGACGACUCAUGUUCAUCUUGGAGUCCACCAGCACUCCAAGAUCCCUUUCCACUUCCGUGCCAUCCAGCAGGUCAUUUCCUAGGCAGUAGUUAUGCUGGACAUUUUUCUUCCCUAGGUGCAGCACUUUGCAUUUCUCCUUGUUGAAUUGCAUUCUUUUGUUUUCUGCCCAUAUGUCCAACCUGUCCAGGUCUGCUUGUAGUUGUUCCCUGCCCUCCGGCGAGUCCACUUCACCCCACAGUUUUGUCCACAAACUUGGACAGAGUACACUUCACUCCCUUGUCCAAGUCGCUGAUGAAGAUAUUGAAGAGUAUCGAUCCAAGGACCAAGCUCUGCCGGACCCCACUGCCCACACCCUUCCAGGUCGAUGCUGACCCAUCUGCUACGACUCUCUGGGUGCGACCCUCUAGCCAAUUCGCCACCCACCGGACUGUGUAGUCAUCCAAGUCACAGCCUCUUAACUUGUUUACCAGUAUGGGGUGGGAUACCGUAUCGAAGGCCUUCCUGAAGUCUAAGUAUAUGACAUCAACCCCUACUCCUGCGUCCAAGCGUUUUGUAACCUGGUCAUAAAAAGAGACUAGAUUAGUCAGGCACGAUCUACCUGCUACGAACCCGUGCUGGUUUCCCCUCAGCAUAAUUUCUCCUGCCAGGCUCUCGCAAAUGUGAGCCUUGAUAAUUUUUUCGAAGACUUUGCCAAGGAUGGAGGUGAGACUGACUGGCCUAUAGUUGCCUGGGUCCUCCUUCCUCCCCUUCUUGAAAAUGGGGACCACACUGGCCCUUUUCCAGUCCUCCGGGACCUGGCCCAUGUGCCACGAUUGUUCAAAUAUUACCACCAGUGGCUGCGCAAUGACGUUAGCCAGUGCCUUCAGUACCCUUGGAUGGAGCUCAUCCGGGCCUGCCAACUUAAAGGCAUCCAGUUCUUCCAAGUGACUCUGCACCAUCUCAGGGUCUACGCAUGGCAGUCUGGUGCCUUGUUGCUGCCUCUCUACAAUCCCAGUGAGAGCCUUGUCCUGCCCCUCACUUAGGAACACUGAGGCAAAGAACUCGUUGAGGAGUUCAGCCUUGUCCCCCUGUCCGUCACCAAUUGCUUCUGCCCAUGUCGUAGGGGUCCUAUUCCACCCUGGGCCUUCCUUUUACUCCCUAUAUAUCUAAAAAACAAUUUUUUGUUAUCCUUUACUUGGGAUGCCAUCCUCAGCUCCAUGGUAGCUUUGGCCCGUCUAACUGCCUCUCUACAAGUGCGAGCAGAGGAGGUAUACUCCUCUUUGGUAAUCUCUCCCCGUUUCCAUUUUUUAUAUGCUCCCCUUUUAGUCCACAGGCUGCCCUGGAUUUCUCUGGUCAGCCAAGGAAGCCUCCUGGACCCUUUCCCACUUUUUCCUCGCAUAGGGAUCAUCUCCCUCUGUGCCCGAAGGAUCAUUUCAUUAAGGCACAGCAACCCUUCCUAGGCUCCCAUCUCUUCAAAACUCCUACUCUGCAGUGCAUCCUUGACUAAUCGCCUGAGUUCAUUGAAAUCAGCUUUCCUAAAGUCUAGCACUUUCACCCUACUAGUUACCUUACCCACUCGACGUCUUAUGGUGAAUUCUAUUAUUUGGUGAUCACUGUCCCCCAGGUGACUACCAAUCUGUAAGUCCCCUACCAUAUCAUCUCCCAUUUCCAAUACCAGGUCCAGUAAGGCAUUCCCCCUAGUGGGACCGUUUACCUCCUGCGUCAGGUAUUAAAAGGUGUUUGUUACAUUAUUUUACAGUUCAGGGCAUGGACAAAAGAAACAUCUAUCUUGUUAUCCCUUGGGGAGCUUUGGUGAAUAGCUGUUCUCCCAAGUCCUGAUGUACCCCUAUUAUAUAAUUGUAAGCUGCUACCAAGUCCCCCUGAGCCUUCUCUUUUCCAGACUGAAGUCCCAAGUCCCUCAGCCUCUCCUUGUAUGGAUCACCCUCCAGGCCUUGGAUCAUAUGAGUCACUCACCUCUGGACUCUCUCAAGCUUCUCCACAUCCCUCCUGAAGUAGGGGGGCCCAAAACUGGAUACAGUACUCCAGCUGCGGGCUCACCAAGGCCAAGUAAAGUGGGAGGAUGACAUCCCUGGUUUUGCUUGCGAUGCAUUGGUAGAUGCACGCCAGAGUUUAUUUUGCUUUGCCAGCCACAUCAUUGCAUUGGUGACUCAUAUUAAUCUUGUGGUCAAUCAGGACCCCCAAGUCUCUUUCAGUCAUGGUGCUAGUGAGCGUAGCACUGCUGAGCUUGUAAGUAUGUUGAGGGUGCUUCCUACCGAGGUGCAGCACCUUACACUUCUCAACAUUGAAGGCCGUCCAGUUUUGGUCUGCCCACCUAGAGAACAUGUCCAAGUCAGCCUGUAUCCCCAGCCUGUCCUGCGGUGUGACUGCCCUCACCCAUAAAUUGGUGUCAUCCAUGAACUUUGCAAGUUUGCAUCUGACUCAUGACUCCAGAUCAUUAAUGAAGAUGUUAAAGAGUACCAGCCCAAGUACUGAGCCCUGAGGGACUCCACUGGUCACCCUGCACCACGUUUAUUUGCUCCAGUCAACUAGUACUCUUUGGGUUUGACUCCGUAGCCGGUUAUCUAGCCAUUGAACCAUAAGAUGAUCAAGGCCACAAUUCCCCAGCUUAGCCAUGAGGACAUCGUGGGGAAGUAUGUCAAAGGUUUUCUUGAAAUCCAGAUAUGUGACAUCUACACCAUCUCCCUUGUCCCGGGCUCGUGUCACCUGGUCACAGAAGGAGAUGAGGUUGGUCAGGCAAGACCUGCCAGUCACAAAGCUGUGUUGGCUGGCCUUCAGAAACUUGCCUUCUGUUACUCUGGUGUUGAUGGAUCCCUUGGCAAUUUUCUCCAGGAUUUUGCAGGGAUGGAUGUCAGUCUGAUUGGUCUAUAAUUCCCCGGGUCAUCCCUUCUCCCUUUGUUGAAGAUAGGGACCACUUUGGCUCUUUCCCAGUCUUCCAGGACCUCUCCCGAGCACCAUGGGUUUUUGAAUAUCUUUGCCAAGGGGGAUGCAAUGAUGUCUGCCAGGUCCUUCAAGACUCUUGGGUGCAUUCUGUCUGGGCCAGCUGACUUGUGAAUGUUCCUCACCUGAUACACAUCAAUGUUGGGCCCGCCACCCACUCCCAGGCUGGUUUGUGUCCUUUCUGAUAGUGUGAUCCCCUUGGGAGUGUGAAAAACCAAUGUGAAAAGGUCAUUUAGGAGAUUGGCCUUUUCUUGGGCGUCGGAUGUCAGCCGCCCAGUUUGACCUUGCAGGGGUCCAAUGCUAUCUUUAUUCAAUUUUCAACUUCACACAUAUCUGAAGAAGGACUUUUUGUUGUCCUUGAUCCCUGUAGUUAGCCUGAGUUCAGUUUGUGCCUUGGCUUUUCUGAACCUCUCCCUAUAGGUGUGGGUGAGUGCUGAGUAGUCCUCUUUGGUGAUGCCUCCCGUUUUCCAACUGGAGUAGGCUUCUCUUUUGAGCUUAAUGAGAUCCAAAUUACACUUUGCAUCUUAAUUACAGUUAAUCUUAAUUAUAGUUCAAGAAUAUAUUUGACUAGGAAAGGAAAAAAUGCUAAAUCAACCCCUGUGCUUUUGAAGACAAAGAAAAUACAGAACCUGGAUAUUAAAAGUGAAAUUACUCUCUGCUGUGGUUAUAGUGGAGUGACUAGUGCUAUAGGAUUUUAGCAUGAAAGAAGUUUAGGCAAAUUUUCUUAGAACAAGCUGUCUUCAUCCUCCAUGUGAGUCCAAAGGGCAUGAUACAGUUAUUAAUCUUUCUCAUGUUGCAGCCAGUUGGGUUAAAAAAAGAAAGCCAGAGUUGCUUGUGCACUCCGAAGAAGAUAUGUGCUCAGUGAACAGUGUGAUCUCUUGGUGUAAGGGAGGAGGGCCGUCUUCAGGGGUGUUUUUCUCUUUGACUUAGGAAACAUUCAGCUUUUGAACAUAUUUGCUGGGGUCUCUAAUAUGAAGUGAAGGGCAAGGGCCUUGUUACACAUUGCACUUUAUGCUGCUCAAAUGUUGAUUGGUGCUAGUGCUUUCUCAAGCUUGGAGCAUUGGCACCUUUUAGGGCCUUGUUAUGUGUUUAUUUUGGGUGGCUCCUGGAGCUCCUAACCCCUAGAUUGUCUUCACAUUAACACCUUUAAGUGGCUUAAAACGCUUAUUAUGUGACUUAAAUAUAUGGCACUCCAGGGCAGGCUUAUCUCUUGAUGCACAUAAACCAGCUCUUGUUCCAUUAAGGUGUGGCCCCUCCACACAGGUGCGCUGCUCAAAUUGAAAGUGUAACUGCAAGCGAGCACUAAGCCGAUCAUAGUUUCAUCGUUUAAUAGUAGCUAGGGUCAGGAGGGACCUGAACAGAUCAUCUAGCCUGACCCCCUGCCACAGGCAGGAAUGAAUGCUGGGUUCACAAGAGCCCAGACAGGUGAUCAUCCAACCUCCUCUUGAAUUUGCCCAAGGUAGGGACGAGGACCACUUCCCUGGGAAGUUGGUUCCAGAUUUUGGCCACCCUAACUGUAAAAUACUGCCUUCUGAUCUCUAACCUAAACCUAUUCUCCAUCAGCUUAUUACCAUUGUUCCUCGUGACCCCAGGUGGUGCUGGGGAGAAAAGGGCUCUGCCUAUUUGCUGUUGAUCUCCCUGAUGAGUUUGUAGGCAGCCACCGGGUCCCCCCUCAGCCUCCUCUUGCUGAGGCUGAACAGGUUCAGGUCCCUCAGUCUCUCCUCAUAGGGCCUGUCCUGCUGUUCUCUCACCAAGCGGGUAGCCCUCCUCUGAACCCUCUCCAGGCUGGCCACAUCCCUCUUGAAGUGCAGUGCCCAGUACUGGAUGCAGUACUCCAACUGUGGCCUGACCAAAGUCGCAUAGAGGGGGAGUAUCACCUCUCUGGACUGGCUUGAGAUGCAUCUUUGUAUGCAUGACAAGGUAUGACUGGCCUUGCUGGCUGCGGUCUGGCAUUGGCGGCUCACAUUCACCUUGGAGAUCAACACUUGUGCAGAUCACAGUGUAACAUGUAACAAGGCCCUGAGCCUAAAAACUCUCUCUGACUGUCCCUUGCCUGGACAGCUGUGACUUGGCACUAGACAGCUGGUGAGCAGGGGCCUGACUAGAAGCUACAGUGGUGAGUUGCCACUGCAGAGCUGGUGGGCCAGGACAGGUUUCUAUCCCUGCUCUAGGUUGGGGUGUGUGAGAGAUGGAGUGGGGGUAGGAACAUGAACUUUGGAAGCACAGAGUUGAUGGGAUGGGGUGCGUAAUACUAUGGGAGCGGGAAAGGAAAUGGGGGUGGGGGAAGGGUGGUGAAAUUAAAAAAGUCAGCCACUGAAAAAUAAAAUAAAUAGUAGUACAAAAAUAAAUAAAAAACUGAAGAGAAAAUAAAGUAAAGAAGGUCCCAUGUUUUAAUAAACUUGGAUUGUGGGGUGGGGUAGCUUCUUGUGUUUCCCAAGGUGCCAAGGAUGUGGUAGUAGUGAGGGAAGGCACAUUUGGGAUUGCUUUUGGCCCUACCCUGGAAGGGAAGCCCCAGCUCAUAGGGACUCAAUCUGGCCUCCUACCUUGUUCCCCCUAUACCCUGCCAGACCCCACUCUUGGCUAACUGGCAUGUGCUGUGCAGACUGCUUGCAUGGGGUUGCAACCCUGGAGGUGGGAAGGUCACACCUUUGGGAGCAGGAGGGGGAGCUGACUUGGUGCCAAUACAGCCCCUUGGCAGUAGAGUUCAGGGGAUACAAUGUUUGUACACACAGAAGAAGAGGGUGGAGAAGGGGACAUUGCAUCCUGGGAUGCUGGUGGACUGCAACUUGGGCACCUCAUCUGUGGGGAGUGGCCACACAUAAUGGAACACGAGCUGGGUAUCAUGAAUUGGAGAUAAACCUGUCCUCAAGUGGUGUAACCUUCAGCUGCCUAAAGCACGCUUAAAAAUAAUUUCAGUUGUUAGUAUAUGGACACUCCAGGAGUUAAGAGCUCCAGCAGCCAUCUAAAAUUAAUGUGCAACAGGGCCCCAAAAGCACUCUUUCUACAGCAUAAGCACUCUUUUAUUCCCUCCCUUUUAUUUAUCUAGUUCAAUACUGAGUCAAAGUCCAUGGAAGUCAGGGCACUCUGUGGACUCGCAGGUAAUGAGCUAUAAAUGCUAUUCACUGCACUUCUGUCAAUAAGACUCUGGAAGCCUCAACUCCCCUGACUUGUACACGUACCUGUUCAUCCUGCAUAGUGGGUGUUACCUGAACAUGUUCGUGUGAUUGAAUACAAUGCUAAGCUUUUAUUCCAUGCACUGGAGCUGGCACUGAUGGUUUCUGUGUUCAGGAUUUUGGUGUAAUGUUUGGUUUUGCUGCUUCUACUUCAUCUACCCUAAAGCUUCCUGUUCUUGUUUUUGACCUAAUAAAUGUGACCAGGAUCUUAAAAGAA